UUUUUUUUUUUUUUUUUUUUUUUUUUUUUUUUGGUGUAAACAGUUGUUUUGUGAACCACCAUGACUGUUCACCUCCACCAUUUGAUGCCGAUGUUGACCGGAAACCUUCACCAUCGUCGCCUGUGUGCGGUGUCCCGACUCUCUUUUUCUCUCUCCCGGUUCAAACUAUGAAGUCUCUGUUUCUCUCUGCCUAAUUUGAAAUAAAUGGGUGUGUUUGAGAAGGUGAAUUAUAGUAUAGUAUUUGAUGGUUUUCGAUAAACCAUGGCUGGAAAUAUUAUUUUAGGUGGUAAUUUGAAUCACUAAAAUCAUUAUUUGUAGGUGGAUUUGUAUUUUUUUUAGGCGGUUUAGUAUAUUCAAGAUAUUUAGAAUCACCCAAAUAUUGGGCGUGAUUUAGCUACAAACCACCCAAAUAUUUCUUUCUUCGGGGAAGCUGGAUAGUGGUGGGUUUGUGUGUGUUUGUGGUGGUUGGAUCUGGUAGUGGUGGAGGUUGGUUGGAUACGGGCGGCUGCUGGUGGUAGGGCUGGAUACGGUGGUGGUGGUUGAGAUUGGUUGAAGAGAGAGAAGGGGGAUAGUUGAGAGAAAGAGAGGGUUUUAUGUGUGUAUGUAUAUAAUUUAUUUAAACAAAUUAGUAAAAUUACUUAUCUACCCUUUUGAGCAAGUCACAUGAUUAAAUUUAACUGAAAAUUUUAACCUAGUUAGUGUUAAAGGACCUAAGAUGCAAUGUGUUUAGUGUAUAAAGGACUGUGACUGUAAUUAUUGAAGUUAAAGGGUAUCCAUUGCAAUCUGAUACAAACAUAAAGGACGAAAAGUGUAAUUUAUCCUAUUUUUAUAUAGCCGCCCAACUAAAAAUUCAAAACCCAGUGGUUCGAAUGAACCCGGAACCUUGUACAUAGAUCCGUCCCUGGAUUUCGACCUGGAAAAAAACCGAUCCUCAGAUCCGAACCCGUUUUAACUGGUUACCCCACCCGACCCUACCUACCCGUUUUGCGAUGAUUCUUGUUGUACAGGGCUACACUUCUCCAGAAUGGCGGGAAAACGUUAAUCAACACAGGCACAAAACCCUAUAUUCUCUGAACUGUACUCUCAACUCCACUAUAUGUUCUUAGCCUUUAAUUAUCGCAUCAUAUUCUUCCAUAAAAACCCUAGGUCCAUACGAUUCAAUUUCUACGCAAUGUCAUCGUCUUCUUCACCGAAGAUCGUCGCAGAGUACGCAAAAUCAGGCAAAUCGUCAUGCAAGAAAUGCUCCGAGAAGAUCGAUUCCAAGUCUCUGAGGUUAGGGUUGAAGACUCGGGACCCGAGGGGAUUUGAUAGCGUCAAAUGGCAUCACUUCGGUUGCUUUUCUUCUUUGGAUUCCGUUUCGGUUUCGGUUUCUGAAACCGAUAUCGAAGGGUUUUAUCAACUCACGGAAAGUGAUCAGGACAAGUUGAAGCAGAUGGCGAGUGAAGGGGAUCAGUCUUCUACAAAGAGAGAAGGAGAUGUAGGGACUGAGACAGACAAAAGGGAUACAAAGAAGCUAAAGACUCAUGAAAAUGAGGAAAUUGGUCAAGAAAAAAAGAAUGUUACAAACGAAAAGAUUGUUGCAGAGUAUGCAAAGUCAGGAAGAUCGUCAUGCAAGAAAUGCUCUGAGAAGAUCGAAUCCAAAUCCUUAAGAAUGGGGUUGAGUAGUUGGGACUCACGCGGUUUUGAAAAUACCAAAUGGCAUCACUUAGACUGCUUCUUUCCUGUAGAUGCAGACCUGGUUUCAGCAGAAUCAAUCAAAGGGUUUGCAGAUUUGAAGGUGAACUCAAUGGGUUCUGUUCAUCUUUGUAGCUAACAAUUUGUUUACACUCAUCACUUUUUUAUCAUUAGAGCGAUGAUCAAGAAAAGUUGAAGAAACUGGUGGCUGAACAGGAUCAGUCUUGUAAGAAGUCGAAUGAAGAUGGUGAAACUGAGCUACAGGAAUCGGAUCAGAAGAGUGAAAAGAUAUCUGGUUCACCAGACGAGGCCAUUGGAUCUGAGAUAGCCUAUGCAGUUAGCAAUGUCAAGGACGAUUAUAAGGGUGCGACGUUACAACCGAAAUGGAAGGCAUUCCAGACUAUCAUAUAUCUUGAACGGGAUGACGGCCUCCACGAUUCAAAAAAAAUUGCUGCCUUUGAUUUCGAUGGAUGUCUUGCAAAAACAUCAGUUCAAAGAGUUGGUGCAAACGCGUGGUCUCUUAUGUACGCUUCAAUACCAAAGAAGUUGCAGAGCUUGUAUAAUGAUGGCUACAAACUGGUUAUCUUCACCAAUGAAUCAAAUAUCGAGCGCUGGAAGAACAAACGUCAAGUAGCUGUGGAUUCUAAAAUUGGAAGACUAGACGCUUUCAUCAAGCUCGUAAAUGUCCCAAUUCAGGUUUUUAUUGCUUGUGGUGUAAGUAAAGGUCAAGAGGUGGACCCUUUUCGCAAACCACAACCUGGAAUGUGGCGCGUCAUGGAACAACAUUUUAACUCUGGAAUUCCAAUCGAUAUGGACCAGUCAUUUUAUGUUGGUGAUGCUGCUGGAAGAAAAGAUGAUCAUAGUGAUGCUGACAAGAAGUUUGCAGAGGUAAUUAAUAUACAUCACCAUCAUGUUCCAUCUUCGAGAAAAUUGGAUUGAAGUUUUACCUUCCUGAGGAAUACUUUGAUGCAUGAAGGAUCUUAUGGCAAACAUAAGCCUACUAUUUUGUUCUUUUGAUUUGCUCUCAUAUAUCUAUACUUAAGUAGGCUUGUAACCUAUGAUGGUUUCACACUUUCACUUCUUGGUUUAAUCAAAAGCUUGCUUCUUCUCCUUGAU